rnacentral:rRNA from 1 species
CCUACGGGUGGCUGCAGUGGGGAAUAUUGGACAAUGGGCGAAAGCCUGAUCCAGCCAUGCCGCGUGUGUGAAGAAGGCCUUCGGGUUGUAAAGCACUUUCAGUGGGGAAGAAAGCCUUGGGGCUAAUACCCUCGAGGAAGGACAUCACCCACAGAAGAAGCACCGGCUAACUCCGUGCCAGCAGCCGCGGUAAUACGGAGGGUGCGAGCGUUAAUCGGAAUUACUGGGCGUAAAGCGCGCGUAGGCGGUCUGAUAAGCCGGUUGGGAAAGCCCCGGGCUCAACCUGGGAACGGCAUCCGGAACUGUCAGGCUAGAGUGCAGGAGAGGAAGGUAGAAUUCCCGGUGUAGCGGUGAAAUGCGUAGAGAUCGGGAGGAACACCAGUGGCGAAGGCGGCCUUCUGGACUGACACUGACGCUGAGGUGCGAAAGCGUGGGUAGCAAACAGGAUUAGAUACCCGAGUAGUC